GAAGGGCUGGUUAUGAGUAAUGUGAUACAAUUUUAUGAGAUGAUGAGAUUACAAUAACAAUACCUCCUCUCAUAGAAUAGCCAGCAAGUCUCCACUAAAUAACAGUGCCUUGAUUUUAUAGAUGUUUCAUCAUGGAUAUUGAGUUAAUGUGAACCAUUUGUAGACACAGGAGUUUAUUAAAGACUUAUAUAAUAUCUUUCAAGUAUUUAGAAUAGUGUUGAAAUUAAGCCUGCAUCCCCACGAUUUUCAGCGGUGCUGAUGCCUAAUAAACUCAACCCCUUGCAUGCCAAAAUUGGCUUAAAGCCCAUCUGUUACCCAAGCUACACUUCAAGCAUCGAGGUUCAAAAAUGUGAUUUUGAAUAUGCAAGAGUUUGAGGAAUUCACUACUCACACUUUCUUGAACAGUCUAUCCAAGUGCAUCAAGCAAAAUGUGAGUAAAGAAAUUUUGAGCAAAGGAUUGAUAGUAAUGUUGAAUACAUUUAAUAGUAGAUCAAAGAUUAAAAGGUGAAAGUGAGGGUGAGAAGAGUGUAUGAAUGCUUUGUGUUCUGACAAAGAGAAUGUAGCACCCAGGUCCUACCUGCUUGGAUGCAUUGCCAGUGCCCACGGUAGGCCAUUUUAUCCAGGUUUUUAGGUAUUGUCUUAUUUUGUUUGUUUUUUUUCUUUUCAGGAGUCUUAGUCCAAGACCAAUAACUCCGUAACUGGUAGAUUUGGAAGACUUUAAUAGUGCUUAACAUUUUGUACAUAGCUUUAUAACAGUUUUCUUUUUCUUUUUUUCUGAGAGAUUCUUUUCAAUAUACCCCAUCAUGGUUGAACUCAAAAAUCAUUGCUUAUUUAAAAUCUACAACUGCUGACGUUUUGUAACGUUCGCAUUCCAGAUACAACAGAGAAAUGCAUAAUGUCCAGUCAAUUUAUUAAAGUUCCAAAGUCGGUCGCGCGCAGUGGCUCACGCCUGUAAUCUCAACACUUCGGGAGGCCGAGGCGUGUGGAUCACGAGUAUGUUUCCAGUCUCAAUAGAAAUCGAUGCCAAUCCAGAAAUACAAGCAUUAUUCUAAUACUUCUCACACAUUACUGCAGGAGUGAGGACACAGCGAAAGUGAGACAAGGAAAAGAGAACAAAAUAAAACAGGAAAGACAGAAAAGCCAAUACCACACGUGUUAAGAGUUUCAAGGAAAAUAUGUUGGGAGUUCCUGGCAUAGAGAAUGUCACAAAGACAUGUUUUCAAUAGUAGUGCUAUCCCGAGGGCAGAGAAGACCCAGAGAAAGCCCAAGUGGCUGCUGGAACAAAAUCAGACACCGUGCCACCUGUCCACACUCCUUGGCUCUGCCAUCAUGCUGAAGAUCGCUUUAAAGGACUGGCUUCCCUCCCCCCAAAAUUAAAAGAGCACAGACUGAGAAACUGAAUGUGGGAGACAGCAGUGGAUUAUGCUGUUCUCAGGGGUCACCUCAGGUUUGGAAGCAUUCUUUCAAAUUAACCCAUCUCAGGCCAUCUGCAGAGAAGAAAGGUGGUACCUAACUUUUUUUCUUGUCGGCAUUUGGUAGGGGUGUUUUAUUGACCAAAUAUGUUCCCACAACCUCGUUUUUUGUGACUAACUAAAUAUAGUAGAGUUUUAAAUUUUAUCAUCAAAAUCUAUAGACAAUUUUUGAUGAAAAUAGACUCCAUCUCUAUGUCCUGCUUUUCUUCUUCUUAUUAAUUACAUUGCUGUAUAAAAGAACAAGACUUCAGCAUCAAGAAUAUCUUGUCUCUUGGCAUUGAAUUUAUACAAGGUGCUCUUUCUUUAAUGCUGUCUCAAAGGACAUAUUUUUACUCAUUAAAAAGGAAGAUCGGAAUCUAGUUGUAUGCACUGCUCCAACAUAUUAAUAAUUAAAAUUAGGAGGUAAAUGUGGUCAAAGCUAUAGAAAGACGGAGAUGUCAUUUAUAUGGAUUACUCUAUAGCACUCUACAAACAGAAAUUGUUAAAUAAUAGUUUAUAUAAAUAUUUUGUAGCAUUUCAAAUAUUUGAGUGCUUGAAGUUUCUCCUCUUCUAUAGUUCAGAUUAUCAAUUUGAAGACUUACUCCGCUAGUUAAUAUGUUUUUAGUCUCGUUUGAGUAUUAUAUAAAAGCAAUUUUCAGUUAAAUGUGUUCCGCUUACAUAAAACGUUACAAAUUAUUGAGGAUUUAAUUACUUAUUCAUGUUCCUGUAAUGUCUUUAGAAGAUUUUCUUAUUAUUACCUAUCAAUAUAUGUAUGCUUUGUCAAAGAAAAAUCAAACAUAUAUAUCAUUGAAAUUGAAACUUUUUAAAAGUACUUAUUAAUUCUAUUGAAAAACCACAUCCAUAGGAACAAUUACAAUAUAAUAUUGUGAACAUGUAAACAUAUACCCUAUGUCUAUUUUAUGUAUAAGCAUGUAUGAUUAAAAAUAUAGUGAAGAAUUUUUAAACCUAGUAUUAUAAAGUAAAAAUUAGUUAACUUCCGAUGAUUAUUUGUUAAUUAAGAUAAAAUUAUUUUGAUUUGGGUGAUUUUAAAUAAAGAAAAAUAUUAAAUUACAUGACAAAAAUUCUUUAUAAAAUGUUUAUGAUUUUUACAUUGGUUUUAUCACUUUUCCCACUAUUUUAUUUUAAGAUGACCUGCCUUGUUUAAAACACUGUAUUCAUCUUAGUUAAAUUAGAUUCCAUUUGUAAAAUAAUUAACAAAUGAUUUGCUCUAUUGUACAGUGCGGUUAUAAACUGAGUCAGUAUCUCAAGAUUUGAUCCCCAUUAUCAUCAUCUGUGGCC
rnacentral:lncRNA from 1 species